CAGCAGUAGCCACGGGAAUACAGAGGGUGCGAGCGUUAAUCGGAUUUACUGGGCGUAAAGCGUGCGUAGGCGGCUUCUUAAGUCGGAUGUGAAAUCCCUGAGCUUAACUUAGGAAUUGCAUUCGAUACUGGGAAGCUAGAGUAUGGGAGAGGAUGGUAGAAUUCCAGGUGUAGCGGUGAAAUGCGUAGAGAUCUGGAGGAAUACCGAUGGCGAAGGCAGCCAUCUGGCCUAAUACUGACGCUGAGGUACGAAAGCAUGGGGAGCAAACAGGAUUAGAUACCCGCGUAGUCCCUGUCUCUUAUAC
rnacentral:rRNA from 1 species